AUCGAGUUAGGGUCUUCUAGGCCCGACCUCCAACCCUUUGUCUACCUUACCACUUGUUGCUUCGGCGAGCCCGUCCCUUGAAAUAUAGGGACCGCCGGGGGUUUUAUACCCCUAGUCCGUGCUCGUCGAUAGCCUUUAUGAAACUCUUGUUUAACUAUGUCGUCUAAGUAAAAAGCACUUAAUUAAUUAAAACUUUCAACAACGGAUCUCUUGGUUCUGGCAUCGAUGAAGAACGCAGCGAAAUGCGAUAAGUAAUGCGAAUUGCAGAAUCCGUGAGUCAUCGAAUCUUUGAACGCAUAUUGCGCCCUUUGGUAUUCCGAAGGGCAUGCCUGUUCGAGCGUCAUUAUCACCUCUCAAGCCUGGCUUGCUGUUGGACUUUAGGUCUUGCUUAGGCAUGACCGGUCCCAAAGAUAAUGACGGCGUCUGUGAGGACCCCAGUACACUGAGCUUUAAUAGCACGUAUUAGGCGGAACUCCAGGCCCGGUCUCACCCAAUUUUUAUUAAGGUUGACCUCGGAUCAGGUAGGAAUACCCGCUGAACUUAAGCAUAUCAAUAAGCGGAGGAAAAGAAACCAACAGGGAUUGCCUCAGUAACGGCGAGUGAAGCGGCAACAGCUCAAAUUUGAAAUCUGGCUCUAGGGUCCGAGUUGUAAUUUGUAGAGGAUGUUUUGGGUACCGCAGCAGUUUAAAUUUCUUGGAACAGAAUGUUAGAAAGGGUGAGAGUCCCGUCUGGAACUGCAGUAGGGCCUAUGUAAAACUCCUUCGACGAGUCGAGUUGUUUGGGAAUGCAGCUCAAAAUGGGUGGUAAAUUUCAUCUAAAGCUAAAUAUUGGCCAGAGACCGAUAGCGCACAAGUAGAGUGAUCGAAAGAUGAAAAGCACUUUGAAAAGAGAGUUAAACAGUAUGUGAAAUUGUUGAAAGGGAAGCGCUUGCAAUCAGACUUGAGUUUAGCGGUUCCCCCUUGCUUUUGCUUGGGCUACUCCGUUAUAUCCAGGCCAACAUCGGUUCUAGGGGUUGGUUAAAGGCUCUAGGAAUGUAUCUACCCCCGGGUAGACUUAUAGCCUAGGGUGUCAUGCAACCUCCCAGGACCGAGGUACGCGCUUCGGCGAGGAUGUUGGCGUAAUGGUUGUAAGCGACCCGUCUUGAAACACGGACCAAGGAGUCUAACAUCUAUGCGAGUGUUUGGGUGUCAAACCCGUACGCGGAAUGAAAGUAAACGGAGGUAAGAAGCCUUAAGGCUGCAUUAUCGACCGAUCCUGAAAUUUAUGGAUGGAUUUGAGUAAGAGCAUAGCUGUUGGGACCCGAAAGAUGGUGAACUAUGCCUGAAUAGGGUGAAGCCAGAGGAAACUCUGGUGGAGGCUCGCAGCGGUUCUGACGUGCAAAUCGAUCGUCAAAUUUGGGUAUAGGGGCGAAAGACUAAUCGAACCAUUAAGAAUAUAGCUACCUAGGUGGUUAAGUGUGGCCAGAUAAUGGUUGCAAGUACCUAAUAUUCAGGUGCAAUACUGUCAAAUUGCGGGGACGUCCUAAAGCUUUAGCGACCGCCUUUAACUGUGAAAACAGCUUUUGGGCACCAGAUUAAUGAUCUGGGUAAGGUAACACUGCUAAAGAUAUAAUAAUGGAUAAUCCGCAGCCAAUUCCUAAGGCCUGUAGGCUAUGGAUGCAGUUCACAGACUAAAUGGCAGUAGGCUCUUCAGAGCUUAAGUUAUAGUCGGUCCCCUGGAGAAAUCCAGGCGCAUACGCUAAAUCUAUAGUUAAGAAUUAGGUAUUCCCUACAGCUAUAGACCC
rnacentral:rRNA from 1 species